rnacentral:tRNA from 1 species
UCCCUCAUAGCUCAGUUGGUAAAUCAUCUGCCUGCAGAGCAGGAGACCCGGGUUUGAUUCCUGGGUUGGGAA